rnacentral:rRNA from 1 species
GUGGGGAAUCUUAGACAAUGGGGGAAACCCUGAUCUAGCCAUGCCGCGUGAGCGAUGAAGGCCUUAGGGUUGUAAAGCUCUUUCAGCUGGGAAGAUAAUGACGGUACCAGCAGAAGAAGCCCCGGCUAACUCCGUGCCAGCAGCCGCGGUAAUACGGAGGGGGCUAGCGUUGUUCGGAAUUACUGGGCGUAAAGCGCACGUAGGCGGAUUAUUAAGUCGGGGGUGAAAUCCCGGGGCUCAACCCCGGAACUGCCUUCGAUACUGGUAGUCUUGAGGUCGAGAGAGGUGAGUGGAAUUCCGAGUGUAGAGGUGAAAUUCGUAGAUAUUCGGAGGAACACCAGUGGCGAAGGCGGCUCACUGGCUCGAUACUGACGCUGAGGUGCGAAAGCGUGGGGAGCAAACAGG